rnacentral:miRNA from 1 species
AAACAAUGGCACCUCUAACAG